rnacentral:rRNA from 1 species
CUAAGUGUAUGUGGUGGAUGCCUUGGCGAUCACAGGCGAUGAAGGACGUGACAGCCUGCGAAAAGCUGUGGGGAGCUGGCAAAUAAGCUUUGAUCCACAGAUGUCCGAAUGAGGGAACUCACCUGCUUUGCAGGUAUCCCAUCCUGAAUAUAUAGGGAUGGGAGGCGAACGAAGCGAACUGAAACAUCUAAGUAGCUUCAGGAAAAGAAAUCAACCGAGAUUCCGAAAGUAGCGGCGAGCGAAAUCGGAUCAGCCCAGCACUCGAUAGCAGCCAACUUACGGGAACGGUCUGGAAAGUCCGGCCAUAGAGGGUGAUAGCCCCUUACUGGAAAAGGCAGCUGUGGUACUAAGUGUGCGAUAAGUAGAGCGGGACACGUGACAUCCUGCUCGAAGAUGGGGGGACCAUCCUCCAAGGCUAAAUACUCGUGAUCGACCGAUAGCGUACCAGUACUGUGAAGGAAAGGUUAAAAGAACCCCGGGAGGGGAGUGAAAUAGAUCCUGAAACCGCAUACAUACAAACAGUAGGAGCCUCGUUAAGGGGUGACUGCGUACCUUUUGCAUAAUGGGUCAGCGACUUACGUUUAAUGGCGAGCUUAACCGUAUAGGGGAGGCGCAGCGAAAGCGAGUUCGAACAGAGCGUUCAGUCGUUAGGCGUAGACCCGAAACCAGAUGAUCUAUCCAUGGCCAGGUUGAAGGUGUGGUAACACACACUGGAGGACCGAACCGACUAGUGUUGCAAAAUUAGCGGAUGAGCUGUGGAUAGGGGUGAAAGGCUAAACAAAUCUGGAGAUAGCUGGUUCUCCCCGAAAACUAUUGAGGUAGUGCCUCGUGUAUGACUCCAGGGGGUAGAGCACUGUUAUGGCUAGGGGGACAUGGCGUCUUACCAAACCAUGGCAAACUCCGAAUACUUGGAAGUUUGAGCACGGGAGACAGAGCACCGGGUGCUAACGUCCGGACUCAAGAGGGAAACAACCCAGACCGCCGGCUAAGGUCCCUAAUAUUGACUAAGUGGAAAACGAAGUGGAAAGGCUAAGACAGUCAGGAAGUUGGCUUAGAAGCAGCCAUCCUUCAAAGAAAGCGUAAUAGCUCACUGAUCGAGUCUUUCUGCGCGGAAGAUGUAACGGGGCUAAGUCAAUAACCGAAGCCGCGGAUUCACACUUGUGUGUGAGUGGUAGGGGAGCGUUCUGUAAGCCUGCGAAGGUGACUCGUAAGGGUUGCUGGAGGUAUCAGAAGUGCGAAUGCUGACAUGAGUAACGUUAAAGCGGGUGAAAAGCCCGCUCGCCGUAAGCCCAAGGUUUCCUGCUCUACGUUCAUCGGAGCAGGGUGAGUCGGCCCCUAAGGUGAGGCUGAGAAGCGUAACUGAUGGGAACAAGGUUAAUAUUCCUUGACCACCGCUGAAUGCGAAGGGGGGACGGAGUAUUGAAGAUCAUCCGGGUGUUGGAUAUCCCGGUUUGCGAGCGUAGGAGGCUGACAGGCAAAUCCGUCAGCGAAUCUCCGAGGCAAAGCAUCGAGCUCUCUUUUGAGCGAAGUGAUUGGAUGUGCUUCCAGGAAAAGCCUCUAAGCUCCAGUUCAGCGGGACCGUACCGCAAACCGACACUGGUGGGCGAGCUGAAUAUGCUCAGGCGCUUGAGAGAACUCAGGAGAAGGAACUCGGCAAAUUGACACCGUAACUUCGGGAUAAGGUGUGCCUUUGUAGCGUGGAGGGAGAAACACCCCGAGCGCGAAGAGGUCUCAGAUAAUCGGUGGCUGCGACUGUUUAUUAAAAACACAGCACUCUGCAAAGACGAAAGUCGACGUAUAGGGUGUGAUGCCUGCCCGGUGCUGGAAGAUUAAUUGAUGGGGUGCAAGCUCCUGAUCGAAGUCCCAGUAAACGGCGGCCGUAACUAUAACGGUCCUAAGGUAGCGAAAUUCCUUGUC